rnacentral:snoRNA from 1 species
UUGCAGCCAAUUAAACUGACUGUGCUCUUUUCUGCACUUCCCCAUGGGGCCCUGGUGUGCAAUGGCUGCAAAUAGCACCCUCCUGGGUGGUGUAUGCAGUGUGUUGCCUGCACAGGUUGCCCUAAGGGACUUUGGAGAUAGCC